rnacentral:misc_RNA from 1 species
GAUGAAGAACGCAGCGAAAUGCGAUACGUAAUGUGAAUUGCAGAAUUCAGUGAGUCAUCGAAUCUUUGAACGCACAUUGCGCCCUUUGGUAUUCCGAAGGGCAUGCCUGUUCGAGCGUCAUUAUCACCCCUCAAGCCCCCCGGCUUGGUGUUGGACGGUUUGGCGGAGGCCCUCCGGGGCCCUUGCCCCUCCCAAAGACAAUGACGGCUGCCUCGUUGGACCCCCGGUACACUGAGUUCUUUACGGGACACGUACUGGAGUAAGGGUGCACGGGGCACGGUCUGCCUCCCCUCAGGGAGAAUCUUUUUUUACAAGGUUGACCUCGGAUCAGGUAGGGAUACCCGCUGAACUUAAGCAUAUCAAUAAGCGGAGGA